AUUGAACGCUGGCGGCAGGCUUAACACAUGCAAGUCGAGCGAGCGGCGGACGGGUGAGUAAUGUCUGGGAAACUGCCUGCUGGAGGGGGAUAACUACUGGAAACGGUAGCUAAUACCGCAUCCCGUCAGAUGUGCCCAGAUGUGAUUAGCUAGUAGGGGGGGUAAUGGCUCACCUAGGCGACGAUCCCUAGCUGGUCUGAGAGGAUGACAAGCCACACGGGAACUGAGACACGGUCACGACUCCGACGUGAGGCAGCAGUGGGGAAUAUUGCACAAGGGGCGCAAGCCUGAUGCGGCCAUGCCGCGUGUGUGAAGAAGGCCUUCGGGUUGUAAAGCACUUUCAGCGAGGAGGCGUUACUCGCAGAAGAAGCACCGGCUAACUCCGUGCCAGCAGCCGCGGUAAUUC
rnacentral:rRNA from 1 species